rnacentral:rRNA from 1 species
GAACUCGAAUUAAUACCGCAUACGACCUACGGGAGAAAGGGGGCAACUUGUUGCUCUCGCUAUUAGAUGAGCCUAAGUCGGAUUAGCUAGAUGGUGGGGUAAAGGCCUACCAUGGCGACGAUCUGUAGCUGGUCUGAGAGGAUGAUCAGCCACACCGGGACUGAGACACGGCCCGGACUCCUACGGGAGGCAGCAGUGGGGAAUAUUGGACAAUGGGGGCAACCCUGAUCCAGCCAUGCCGCGUGUGUGAAGAAGGCCUUUUGGUUGUAAAGCACUUUAAGCAGUGAAGAAGACUCCAUGGUUAAUACCCAUGGACGAUGACAUUAGCUGCAGAAUAAGCACCGGCUAACUCUGUGCCAGCAGCCGCGGUAAUACAGAGGGUGCAAGCGUUAAUCGGAAUUACUGGGCGUAAAGCGAGCGUAGGUGGCUUGAUAAGUCAGAUGUGAAAUCCCCGGGCUUAACCUGGGAACUGCAUCUGAUACUGUUAGGCUAGAAUAGGUGAGAGGAAGGUAGAAUUCCAGGUGUAGCGGUGAAAUGCGUAGAGAUCUGGNANGNGNAANUACCGAUGGCGAAGGCAGCCUUUCUGGCAUCAUAUUGACACUGAGGUUNCGAAANGCGUGGGUAGCAAANAGGAUUNAGAUACCCNUGGUAGUCCACGCCGUAAACGAUGUCUACUAGUCGUUGGGUCCCUUGAGGACUUAGUGACGCAGCUAACGCAAUAAGUAGACCGCCUGGGGAGUACGGCCGCAAGGUUAAAACUCAAAUGAAUUGACGGGGGCCCGCACAAGCGGUGGAGCAUGUGGUUUAAUUCGAUGCAACGCGAAGAACCUUACCUGGUCUUGACAUAUCUAGAAUCCUGCAGAGAUGCGGGAGUGCCUUCGGGAAUUAGAAUACAGGUGCUGCAUGGCUGUCGUCAGCUCGUGUCGUGAGAUGUUGGGUUAAGUCCCGCAACGAGCGCAACCCUUGUCCUUAGUUACCAGCGGGUUAAGCCGGGAACUCUAAGGAUACUGCCAGUGACAAACUGGAGGAAGGCGGGGACGACGUCAAGUCAUCAUGGCCCUUACGACCAGGGCUACACACGUGCUACAAUGGUAGGUACAGAGGGCAGCUACACAGCGAUGUGAUGCGAAUCUCAAAAAGCCUAUCGUAGUCCAGAUUGGAGUCUGCAACUCGACUCCCAUGAAAUAAGAAUUCGCUAGUAAUCGCGGAUCCAGAAUGCCGCGGUGAAAUACGUUUCCCGGGCCUUUGUACACACCGCCCGUCACACCCAUG